GACUAUGAUUUUGACUGAGGUUUGGUCCUGUUCUGAUGAUUAUAUAAUACAUAUCUUAGAUAUCAAUCUGAUGAUAUGAUUGGUGGAGAUAUCACCUCUAUCUAGUGCUGUCAACCAAUUUACCUCUGUCAAUCUAUCUACUGCUGCUAAGCUAUCGCUGCCAACCUAUCUAUCGCUGCCAACCUAUCUAUCGCUGCCAAUUUAUCUACCACUGCCAAUCUAUCUAUUGCUGCUAAUCUAUCGCUGCUGUCAAUCUAUCUAUCGCUGCUAAUCUAUCUAUCGCUGCUAAUCUAUCGCCGCUGCCAAUCUAUCCCUCACUGCUAAGCUAUCCCUCGCUGCUAAGCUAUCCCUCACUACUAAGCUAUCUAUCACUGCUAAUCUAUCGCUGCCAACCUAUCUAUCACUGCCAAUCUAUCUAUCGCUGCUAAUCUAUCGCUGCUAAUCUAUCGCUGCUAAUCUAUCGCUGCUGCCAAUCUAUCUAUCGCUGCUAAUCUAUCGCCGCUGCCAAUCUAUCCCUCGCUGCUAAGCUAUCCCUCGCUGCUAAGCUAUCCCUCGCUGCUAAGCUAUCCCUCACUGCUAAGCUAUCCCUCGCUGCUAAUCUAUCGCUGCCAACCUAUCUAUCACUGCCAAUCUAUCUAUCGCUGCUAAUCUAUCGCUGCUAAUCUAUCGCUGCUAAUCUAUCGCUGCUAAUCUAUCGCUGCCAACCUAUCUACCGCGGCGAAUCUAUCUAUCACUAUCAUUACUAGUUCAAAAUAGAACUAGAGCAUAAAUACACUAAACUUCUUUUGAUAGGUAAUGAUUUUUGGUAACGCUCAUAGCAUUAUAUCAUCUAUAUAGGGUAAAUCAUGGUCCCAUUUGGUCUCAUUUUAACAAAAUGGGACCAAAUGCGACCAGAAUCAGUAAUUUAUAAGAAGAACAUGACCUGAGACUAGAUUUAUAAUAUAAACAGUGUAAAGUGACUAAUUUAAUAAACACUAUAUGAGACCAGAACUAAGAAAUUUGAUAA
rnacentral:sRNA from 1 species